rnacentral:lncRNA from 1 species
GUUUACCGACGAGAUUAUCAUGUAGUUACUCGAUUUGACAACUAGGGCUAUGGCCUGGCCAUCCUCAUAAAUGCGUCCCCACGAUGUGGUCCCGACCCUUGGGCACCAGCUGGCAGGCCUCCUGGCUAUAAAUAGUAAGAGUAAGAACCCUAAAAGGAGGGCUGCUUCUUCUUUUGCUUCUUCACAUCUACUUCUAAAAUAGGAGAAAAUACUUCAUUGUAAGGCUCUGAAACUCUCCAUGGAGAGGCAGACGAAAUCCAUAUUAUUAAUAAAAGAUCAUCAUCCUCCUCCCUUUACUUAAUAUCUAUUGCCUCUUGCAUUUUAUUCUUUUGAUCUUUGGAUUUAUUACGAUCUGUUAUGAUUGACCCUCCAUUUGUUUCUAUUGUUUUAUGUUUAUAAAGUGAACGAACAAAAAUAAUAUAUAGUCUUUUUCUAAUUGAAUAAUUCUAUAAAAUAAGUGAUGUUAAAAGUUGAACUUUUCAGUUUGUAAUUAUUUAAAGUAUGAAAUAUUAAGCAUGUUAAAAGUUAAGUUAGACAUACUCUUUGCAUACGAGAGUUUUUAGCUCAACCCAUAUUAUGCAUCUUAAAAUUGACUUGUGGCUUUUACUUUAGCGAUAAUAACUUAUUUUUUUAAUUCCAUCGGACAAAUUCAUAUAGUAAUUCUUAAUGAUAAAAAAUAAAACGAUUUGUAUUUUGUGCCCGAGAAAGAAAAAAUCAUUGUCUUAUUUUAAUUACGUCAUACUGUUUGGAUCUUAUAGAAUGAACUUGAAAAAUGACCCCCAAAAAAAAAACUGACCAACUUGAAAAUAGCAUUUAAAAAACAGAAAUUAAAGCUCUUAAAUCUUCCAAAGUUAUGAAGGUGAAGAAAUAAUAAAAUUAUAACAAUGUUUAAGUUGAAUAUAUGGAUGAUGAAUGAGUUUCUUCCUUUAUUAACUUAGCUAUUUAGGUUCAACAUUCAUAAAAUUCAGGAGCUCUUUUUAUUUUAUAAAUCAAAUUCUAUUUUAAUAUAAUAUAUAAGUGAUUUUUAAAAAAAAAUAUAUAUAUUAUUUACUAAAAGUAGGUAACAACGCGUAUAUCCGAAAACUAGUAAUUUAUAAACACAAUAUUACCUGAAAAGGGACCUGUGCUGUGUAGAAUACGUACUUCACAAAUUAUAGGUUACUCCUCGUCAGCCGUAUGACUUCGGGGAUCCACUGAGAUUAGGGUGAAGAUGCGUAGCAGAGAAUCAUCAGUUGCAUUAGGGCAACAAAUCAUCAUCGCCGACAGUGUCCUCUAUUAAAUACCCUACAUUCACCUCUUUCUUCUCACAGCAGCUGCUAAUAGGCUCUUCAGCAACAACAACAAUCUCCUAUUCGUUCUUCAUUUUGGAUUUCUAGAGGAUACUCUAAUUUUGUUCAAAUCAAGGAUUGUAAAAGAUUCAAAAUUUUACAAAGGGGAAAGAAUGAUGAGAUCAUAGCAUACGUGCAAACGCAGCAUCGCAAGAUGCAGUGAGCGGCACUUUCCACACGAGAUUUCUGACUUCUCCCCUUCUAUUGGAGUAUUAUUUUCUUCAAAUUCUAUUUUGGUCUAAUUUUUUAAUAGUAAACUGCACAGUGAAGGAAUAAAAAGUAUAUUAAGCUCUUUGCUGCUAAUUUUGGAGUUGGCAGGAAAGUAAUUCAGUGAUGGCUUCUGGAUGAAGCUACAGAAGUAAGAAGGAUUACGAAGAAUUGUACUCCAUUCUCGUUCAAAAAAUGAUUAACAUGUUUCCUUUUCAAAAACAAAAAAUUCUUUUUAAAUUUAAAUAUAGUUUAAUUUUAA